rnacentral:rRNA from 1 species
CGGACGGGUGAGUAACACGUGGGUAACCUACCUAUAAGACUGGAAUAACUCCGGGAAACCGGGGCUAAUGCCGGAUAACAUUUAGAACCGCAUGGUUCUAAAGUGAAAGAUGGUUUUGCUAUCACUUAUAGAUGGACCCGCGCCGUAUUAGCUAGUUGGUAAGGUAAUGGCUUACCAAGGCAACGAUACGUAGCCGACCUGAGAGGGUGAUCGGCCACACUGGAACUGAGACACGGUCCAGACUCCUACGGGAGGCAGCAGUAGGGAAUCUUCCGCAAUGGGCGAAAGCCUGACGGAGCAACGCCGCGUGAGUGAUGAAGGGUUUCGGCUCGUAAAACUCUGUUAUUAGGGAAGAACAAACGUGUAAGUAACUGUGCACGUCUUGACGGUACCUAAUCAGAAAGCCACGGCUAACUACGUGCCAGCAGCCGCGGUAAUACGUAGGUGGCAAGCGUUAUCCGGAAUUAUUGGGCGUAAAGCGCGCGUAGGCGGUUUCUUAAGUCUGAUGUGAAAGCCCACGGCUCAACCGUGGAGGGUCAUUGGAAACUGGGAGACUUGAGUGCAGAAGAGGAAAGUGGAAUUCCAUGUGUAGCGGUGAAAUGCGCAGAGAUAUGGAGGAACACCAGUGGCGAAGGCGACUUUCUGGUCUGUAACUGACGCUGAUGUGCGAAAGCGUGGGGAUCAAACAGGAU